CUUGGCUCAGGAUGAACGCUAGCUACAGGCUUAACACAUGCAAGUCGAGGGGCAGCAUUUCAGUUUGCUUGCAAACUGGAGAUGGCGACCGGCGCACGGGUGAGUAACACGUAUCCAACCUGCCGAUAACUCGGGGAUAGCCUUUCGAAAGAAAGAUUAAUACCCGAUGGCAUAAUUAGACCGCAUGGUCUUGUUAUUAAAGAAUUUCGGUUAUCGAUGGGGAUGCGUUCCAUUAGGCAGUUGGUGAGGUAACGGCUCACCAAACCUUCGAUGGAUAGGGGUUCUGAGAGGAAGGUCCCCCACAUUGGAACUGAGACACGGUCCAAACUCCUACGGGAGGCAGCAGUGAGGAAUAUUGGUCAAUGGGCGCAGGCCUGAACCAGCCAAGUAGCGUGAAGGAUGACUGCCCUAUGGGUUGUAAACUUCUUUUAUAUGGGAAUAAAGUUUUCCACGUGUGGAAUUUUGUAUGUACCAUAUGAAUAAGGAUCGGCUAACUCCGUGCCAGCAGCCGCGGUAAUACGGAGGAUCCGAGCGUUAUCCGGAUUUAUUGGGUUUAAAGGGAGCGUAGGUGGACAGUUAAGUCAGUUGUGAAAGUUUGCGGCUCAACCGUAAAAUUGCAGUUGAUACUGGCUGUCUUGAGUACAGUAGAGGUGGGCGGAAUUCGUGGUGUAGCGGUGAAAUGCUUAGAUAUCACGAAGAACUCCGAUUGCGAAGGCAGCUCACUGGACUGCAACUGACACUGAUGCUCGAAAGUGUGGGUAUCAAACAGGAUUAGAUACCCUGGUAGUCCACACAGUAAACGAUGAAUACUCGCUGUUUGCGAUAUACAGUAAGCGGCCAAGCGAAAGCAUUAAGUAUUCCACCUGGGGAGUACGCCGGCAACGGUGAAACUCAAAGGAAUUGACGGGGGCCCGCACAAGCGGAGGAACAUGUGGUUUAAUUCGAUGAUACGCGAGGAACCUUACCCGGGCUUAAAUUGCAUUUGAAUAUAUUGGAAACAGUAUAGCCGUAAGGCAAAUGUGAAGGUGCUGCAUGGUUGUCGUCAGCUCGUGCCGUGAGGUGUCGGCUUAAGUGCCAUAACGAGCGCAACCCUUAUCUUUAGUUACUAACAGGUCAUGCUGAGGACUCUAGAGAGACUGCCGUCGUAAGAUGUGAGGAAGGUGGGGAUGACGUCAAAUCAGCACGGCCCUUACGUCCGGGGCUACACACGUGUUACAAUGGGGGGUACAGAAGGCAGCUACCUGGUGACAGGAUGCUAAUCCCAAAAGCCUCUCUCAGUUCGGAUCGAAGUCUGCAACCCGACUUCGUGAAGCUGGAUUCGCUAGUAAUCGCGCAUCAGCCAUGGCGCGGUGAAUACGUUCCCGGGCCUUGCUCACAAAGCCCG
rnacentral:rRNA from 1 species